UCUAGUUUUUUGUCCCUUAGACGUUUGUUUCCUCUCUAUUUAGCUGAAAUCAUAAUCUCUCUCAAAUCCUCUAAAAUUACUCGAUUCUAAACCCAAUAUCUCUCAAAUCGAUCAUCUUCCUUCCUUCUCCUCUAAAUUCUCUUUCCAAUUCCUCCACUUUCACAUCUGUUUUGCUGAGAAUGCUUCCCAAAUCGAUUGAAACCCUAAAUUUCUGUUCUAAGCUCUUUUUCGAUCUAAUCCCAAAUUCAAAACCCUAAUCUCUGUGAGAAACACUAAUCUCUGUGAGAAACACUAAUCUCUGAGUGCUGGCCGUGUAAGGAAGAAAGGAGGAGGAGGUGCGUCCGUCGCAACGAAGAGGACAUGCGGCGGUUCUCCUUCCGUCAUCAGAACUCCAUCGCCUCUACAACGUGUAGCUAUUCUCUCGACCGAGAUCGAGGAAGUGUCGUAACGCCAAGUGCAAAGGGUUGAAGAAGGCUAUGGAGUUUGAUUUGCAGCUGCAGACGGAGAAAACCAAUCGGGAUCAGCUAAGGAGAUUGAUUGGUUACUUUGGAAAGGAGGCAGCAAGAACAAUCCUGGUUACGAGUGUUUGAGAGCUGAGCUGAGGAGGAUGGCUCCACCUAAUGGUCGAGCUGUGUUGGGGGGAGAAGCCGGCGUCAUAAAAAUUCUUGGUCCUCACGUGCACUUAUCAGGGUUGAAGUUUUAUCAACAAAUCCAACAAGAAAUUGAAGAAGAAUGUGGUCUUGGUGAAGUUUUAUGUCUCUCAAACCAUAGGUCUCUCAUCUCUUUUAACCUCAUUUUGAACUUAUCUCCAAUGGUUGUAUAUGGUAACCAUUGAAGUUUCUUAGUUUUGUGAACAAUGUAUUACCUUUGUAAAUUAUUUGUUUCAUAUGCUUUUAAAAUUCGUAAUGAAUGUAUUUACAAUUUAGUUCAAUUAUUAACAAUUGAAUUCAAAUUACCAAAUUAGCAUUAUCAAUAGCAAUACAAAAUUCUAAUUCUAUUGAUAAUAAUAGUCGCAAUG